rnacentral:rRNA from 1 species
CAGGAUGAACGCUAGCUACAGGCUUAACACAUGCAAGUCGAGGGGCAGCAUGACGAUAGCUUGCUAUUGUUGAUGGCGACCGGCGCACGGGUGAGUAACGCGUAUCCAACCUGCCCUUGUCCAUCGGAUAACCCGUCGAAAGGCGGCCUAAUACGAUAUGCAGUCCACAGAAGGCAUCUGACGAGAACGAAAUGUGAAGGAGAAGGAUGGGGAUGCGUCUGAUUAGCUUGUUGGCGGGGUAACGGCCCACCAAGGCGACGAUCAGUAGGGGUUCUGAGAGGAAGGUCCCCCACAUUGGAACUGAGACACGGUCCAAACUCCUACGGGAGGCAGCAGUGAGGAAUAUUGGUCAAUGGGCGAGAGCCUGAACCAGCCAAGUAGCGUGCAGGAUGACGGCCCUAUGGGUUGUAAACUGCUUUUAUGCGGGGAUAAAGUGAGCCACGUGUGGCUUAUUGCAGGUACCGCAUGAAUAAGGACCGGCUAAUUCCGUGCCAGCAGCCGCGGUAAUACGGAAGGUCCGGGCGUUAUCCGGAUUUAUUGGGUUUAAAGGGAGCGUAGGCCGUCUGGUAAGCGUGUUGUGAAAUGUCGGGGCUCAACCUGGGCAUUGCAGCGCGAACUGUCAGACUUGAGUGCGCGGGAAGUAGGCGGAAUUCGUCGUGUAGCGGUGAAAUGCUUAGAUAUGACGAAGAACUCCGAUUGCGAAGGCAGCCUGCUGUAGCGCAACUGACGCUGAAGCUCGAAAGCGUGGGUAUCGAACAGGAUUAGAUACCCUGGUAGUCCACGCGGUAAACGAUGGAUGCUCGCUGUUUGCGUCUGACGUAAGCGGCCAAGCGAAAGCGUUAAGCAUCCCACCUGGGGAGUACGCCGGCAACGGUGCAACUCAAAUGA